GCGCGCGUGCGCUGCCGGCCGUGGGAAAGCGGAGCGGCGCGGCGGCCGCGUGCGGGAGGGGCGGCGCGGGGCGGCGCGGGGCGGCGCGGCGGCCGCGGCGGCCGCGGCGGCGGGUGGGCGGCCUCCGGCGGCCUCGCGUUUCCCGGGCGGCCCCCACGGCCGAAGCGCGGCGGCGACAGUGCUUCCCGAGCCGCUGCGGGGGGCAGCCAGCGCUGGGGCUGCCCGCAGUUUGCCUUUACAGGACCAAGAGCGGAAUGGAAGGAGCAGUGACAUUUAAGCCUUCUGGCUUGCAGACCGCACAUCUGACUUCUCCCAUCCAGGAGCCGCAGGCAGGCGCAGUAGUCAUCGCCUGGCCACCCCUGUGCUAAAGGCAGUAACGGCAGAAUGGGGGUGAAGCUGUCACAGCGAAGGAGAGACUUCAGAAAUGUGUAAGGUCUUCUCUCCCAAGGGAGCAAGUGCUUUGAAGAGUAAUCCUGUCAACCUGUCAUCCCAAGUCCCAGAAACGCACAGUUACUAUGGUUACUUUGCCCACUUCAACUAGUGGCUCUGGCACUCACACUGCAGCCAGUCACAAACCUUAAUACCCCCUGCCAGACACACACAGCAUUUAUCAAGCUACAGCAUCAGUUCUGCAAGAAGUUACUGCUCCAGAUCUUGUCUUUUUCUUUACUGGCUUCAUGCUGAGUAUGUUGACUGUUGGUACUGCUGGCAGCUCAAAACUGUUUAUCACAGAUCACAUGGAAGUGCUUGAGAAGUUAGUGGAAACAACAGAAGAGCUUUUAGGAUUUUUGCAUGAUCUGUCACUAUCGCUAUUGAAUGUAAAGAUGUUUUCUCAGGAUUUGGACACGGAAAUUCACACGUGUACAUCUCAGAGGUCCACAUACCCAGUUCAGAGUUAGGUUUGGAGAAGUGCAUCUAUAGUGAUUUCCAGGUCGUUAGGGCAUUUCUGUCUCCAAGGUGACCAAGGAGAGGGAGAAGUUUUGCAUGAAAGUCCUUACCGUAAGCAGAAAUCCUCAAUUGCUUCUGCUGCAGCACAGGUUUCAGGUUUCAUUUUUUGCAAAUUUGUUUAUAGCUAUAAAUAAGCAAGACUAGCACUGUCAGCAUAUUACAGCAGCAGUGCAGAGAGUUUUCUCUUCUGGAUGGUCCUGAAUAAUGCAUGUAGCCUUAAUGUGUGUACCCUAUCAGGCUCCAGCUCAUCUCCAAAUCCAGACCUAGGAUAGGAGUAGUAAAGGCUACUCUGUGAACGCAGCAUUCAAGUUGCUGAUGGGCAAGGCUGCCUUUCAUUCAACCAGCCCUCUGAUCGAGGUGCAAACAGGCAGACUGGCUACUUUAUCCCAUUUUCCCAGGGCUGGUUUCCCUUCCAGUCAAUCCAACCCUUUUUUCUCUUUCUAUGCAAGCCUUCCUCUCAGUCAAGGCUCCUACAGACAGCAACUUCUUUGCCUAGACACCCCUUCUUCCAUUCCCAAAGCACAGUCUACCCUGUGCACUGGGUGAGGCCAAGAUCGCAUGGGAGGAAUCAGUCAAGGUCAUAUUAAUUAACAGCUGUCUCACAGUAGAUACAAAAGUGGGUCAAACUGGGGUGGCGUUGUGAAGAAAAUAAUGAUUUGAUUUGCAGCCACCUGUGCUCUUAAUUAUAGGAAAAUGGCAUAAUGUCUUUGUGUGUAAGAGUGUAUCCUGGGUGUAAAAUUGCACAACAAAUUCAGCUCAAUAUGUUAGUGGCAGGACAGCCUCUAUAAGAUUGCCAAAUUAUAAAGGGGGCAAUAGCCUCAGAUAUGUAUCACCUACAGACACCACCCCACCAAGGUGAAAAUUUCACUGUAGUUUAGUGGUUCAUUUAUCCCUGUGUUUAUUCUUCAAUGUCAUGCAGUACAGUUUCCAUCUGAUAUCUCAGAAUAAAAUCAUCUUCUUUCUUUCUCUUAUUGCUGACUUUUUCAGCCAAGUCUUCUGCAGUUUGCGAGAACAACUUUCUUCUGUUUGUACAGUACUUUUCCCAUAGCUGGACAGAGCAAUAAUAUUACCAGAAACUUGCUCUUGUUCUCUGUUGUAACAGAGCAGACAGCAGCCCAUCAGGGAACAACCUGACUGGCUAUUUUUCCUGUGCAAUCUUGCAACAUUAAUAUUCUAAGAGUAGUGUUCCAAAUAUGCUUCCUUUUGUAUAGUGGCAUGUGGAGAGGAAGUCCCUGCUCCAAAGAGUUUACAGUUCCAGGCCUACUUAGAGUUCCCUUUGUCAGUAAGAUACAGCUUUGAGAAAAAUGUGUGUGCCCUUCAUUCUUGCAAGGAAUAAUAGGAUGGAAAGCAGCUCUCAGACUUUCUGUUCCAUCGUGCAAACUAUUAUUUAAAUUUCUGCUCUUCAAAGGGCAAAACUUGCCUUUUUGGCAACCUUUAGUCAAUCUUGCAAAUAGAAACAUAACCAUUUUUGUCAGCAAGUUUCCUAGAACUAAAUUUCAUUAAGCAGAAAUAAAAAUGUAAGUUUAACAUAUCCUGUAGCUGUUGAGAAAUACAGUUUGGGAUAAAGCAAAUGAAAGUAAUAACUUCAUUGCUUUUGAAGCUACUAGCUACUGUAAGCUUUGAUGACCUUUGCACGCACAACCUAUCUGGCAUAUUGAGCAUAUUGACUCCUGGCAAAGCAUCUCUUUAGUUUCUCUUAGAUGAUAAUUUGUAUUGCACAUUUUUGCUGCAGCAUUUGCUAGACACCUGUCUCCUACACAGCUCAGCCACCGCUGAGGCAAAAGUUAGAUGAUGUGACGAGUUAGAGGAAGCGACGAUCGCCCCCACACACAGAGUAAUGAGCUGUGAGGGGAACUUUAGGAUGUGUGACCAGAGUGAAAAAGUGCCAGGAAUUUUUAAUUGCCACAGCAGUCAGGACUUUGUUAGAGGUUUUAAUUUGGAGAUCCUGGCAAAAUAACCCUACUUUAGAAAAAUUAAAGACUAAGCCCGACUGAUUUAGACGUGAGAGGUUAUCCCAUACAGGCAGAGUAUUUGAACAUUGCUGCCGAGAGCACUAAGCUCUCUCCUCCAGGGAAGGUAUCAAAAUCAAAUCCCAUCAUCAGUUGUCUCUUCCAUUACGUUAUGGAAUACCAGGAUAAAAAUAAACAACAGAACAGAAGUGCCAGCCUGAUUUUACCAGACAAAGUUAGAUACUGAGCCUGUUUUUUGUUUAGGAAACUUUUAUUUCUCAAAUGAUCUAAAUGUACAUCAGCAUCUGUUCUGAGGGUUUUUAAUCAAACAUGAGGGAUCAUAAAUGAAUUGAUUCUGAGGUUAAAGCUCAUUUUAAAGGUGCCACCAAAAUGCAGUCACAAAAUAGCAAUGACCUGCACUGAGAGUGAGGGUAUUUUCAUGUGAGAUGCCUUAUUUCAGUCUUGCUCACAGUACUUUAAAACUGCAGCAUUCCUACAGAUUUCAGAAAAGUCAAGACUUGCACACUCCAGAGAGCUGGCCAGCAUAGCUGUGCCAAACUGGUUCCCUGUGCAGACCCACUGUUCUCAAAGUGACCUUCACUUCAUCUGCUUUUAAAGAAGAAAAAUUAUUCCAGGAAAAAUACUUUUUUUUUUCCAAAAUAGCACCCAUCUGAAAGAUUAUAUAUUUUAUAUCUGAAAGAUUAAAUAUUCCAGAAAAUCUCAGUUAUACUGGAACAGAAGCUAUCACAGCAGCAUUCCAGAACAGCUAUAAUAGUAACUUCCCAUGCAUACCGAGGCGUUCCUUUUGAUUCAUAUUGAUGUAGCUGUGAUAAAAGUUCCUUGUGUUUACUUGUAACACAACCAAAUCACUAGCACAUGGCUCUCAAUACAUAACCACCUAAGCACGGAGAGACUGUGAUGAUGACCUCCGUAUGAACACCUCGAUAGUAAGUAUUAAUAACAGCGCUCUAAAGCAAGUGCAAACAGUCACACACUCUUAAUGCUUAAACCACAACAAAUGUGUUUAAUCCCACACAAUAGCCCCCUUAUAAUAUGUCUUAAAGCUGUGGUCUGCAGGGGAAGUGGUGACCACUUCUCACAUAUAUAACGUAUACCAAAUAUAUUCAGCUUGGCACAAAGACGAGAAGCUGGAAGUGUCACACUGGAGCCUAACUCCCUGACAGCAUGAGACAUGUGCUUGUAAGCUUUCUCAAGGAGGAUAUUUGAUUGCCCUCUUUCUUCUUCUGCCUCUCUCCCAACAAAAGUGGAGUGACCUCCCCCAUGACCUGGCAAGUGCUGAAAUUCCCCAAACACAUUUUUCUGUUGUGCCCCAACGCUGAACAAAAGGGAAAGAAGCAGCAUCAAUAUACUUGAAGUAUGGAAUGAAAAUAAUAGCUGGCUGUUACUCGGCCAGCAAACACUGAUCUUCACCUCUUGCCCAGCAUGGUUUGCGCUGCCUCCCACGCUUAUCUGCUGCAUUGUCCACGGCUCGCUCUUAUUUAUUUAUUUAUUUAUUUAUUUGGAGCAGGCCAGAGUGGGGGGGGCAGGAGGAGAGGAGGCGGAGGGGGAGUCUAUGUAAUUGCAGUUUACACUGCGUUCCCACGCUACUAUUGUUUGUGACUUUGUUUCCUAUUCCCAUCACGUGUGCUAAUUAGUUAGAGCUGCUGGCUAGCUGGGAGGCGUGUGUCUGGAGUAAAAGCAGAAAGAUCACUUCCUGGAGGGAUCUGGGCAAUCUGAACAAUUCUUCGCUUCACUUUCGGCCCUCUCCCUCCCACCCCGCUUUACCCGCUCAGGGAAGAGAGAAGAAGUGCCGAUUGUCAAGCGCAAGCCACGGGAGAGGCACAGAUUUUGUCUUCUGAAAGGAAACAAGAGUCAUAGAAAAUAGCGCUGGAAAUAAGAUCCCAGCUGUGUUUUACAAACUUUUUUCUUUUUUAUCCCGAGAAAUCCCCAAUGUCUUUCUAUUGUGUCUAAGAAGAUAAAAAACCAGCAUUUUUAAAAAUCCUCAGGUUAUUUUAGCCUGCCCUUAGGAAGUGAGUCAUUUUCUUAUGGCAAGGCUAAAGCAAGCUCAUGCCAUGGCUUGCGGAACAAAAUGAGAGCGAAAGAGAGAGAGAGAGAGAGAUAAGUACCCGAGUCAUGGCAUUUGCUUAUUAGAGCAAGCGUCAGGCAGCAAGGCCAAGUCGCACAGCAGGACUGAGUACCUGUGGAUGCAUCAGAUUUUAGACUCAGGUCUGUUUAAUUUAGAUCUCCAGCUUAACCGCCUUAUCCAUAGCCCUGGGUGCUUUUCAAGUGCUGAGCACAUGAAACCAUCUUCAAAUCAUACCUGCCGCCUGCAGCCCAUAGAGGCACCAGGCUGGAUCCCUCGCUGAUGCCAAGCCCUCUCGCUCAGGCCCCGAGCAAGCCGAGGUGACGCUUCUCUUGCAUUUAAUAGUCCCUGUCCCACUGGUCUGGAGUGACCCUCCGUAUUCUCUGAUUUCACAUGCUGAGGAAAGAAGGACGGGGCUUAUCCCGUUACUCGCCCUGGCUGCGCCCCAGCCAAGGGGAGGAUCCUGCCAUCGAUGACCCCAUUUAGGGCAAAUCGUAGUUGGGGCCCUUCUCAUUUCUGCUGAGGGCGAUCUUGCUGGAGGGCCUGCGUUAUCAUAGCUGUCAGGCGCCGCAAAGACAGAGGCGUGCUCGGAGGGAUUCAGGUCCUAACCUAUCAUAUGAAAAAGGGAAUGCCAGGUGCUUACCCAGAGGCAGGAAAAGGUGUAAGACUACGUUUACUUCCCUCUCAACAGUCACAAGCUCAUGAGAGCAGAGUUUGCUGACAAUAAUUGUAUUCAGGCUCAGGGCAAGUAAAUACAGUCUAUGCUUCCCUACGCAGCUCCACCGAUGCCUAAGGAAAAGCCCAAAGUAAUGCCUAUCAAUCUGACCCAUCACUGUGGGAUUACAGCUAGGUAAAAAUCAAAAUUUCCAUAUUAUUGGAAAUUCCUGUAUUUCUACACUUUGGGUUUUUUUGUCUGUUUGUUCAUUUUUGUUUUUUUAAGUUGGGAUGGGAGGAGAGUUGAAAUAGUUUAACUCUAUUUGGUUUGGGGUUUUUCUGUCCUUUCUGUGGGGAAAAAAACUGUCCUGGGUUUUGGAAACAGUGAAACACUCCUCCCUGAGUCAGUUCAGCUUGAAUGGGCAUCUCUUUGAGUGCCACGUUAACACUUGGAUGUUGUCACCCCCCAACUCUGUUCUUUCUUAAAGGCUGAGCCCCCUUUCUGGGUUAUCCAUCCCAUGACAUCCUCCUCAGAUCAGGCUACAGGAAAAUAUAUUGAAUUAUAGAAGAUACAGGCUGGCUAAUAAGCCAGCUAGGCUAGGCAAUUUUCCUGCAACAGAAAAGAACUGGUUGCU